GUGAUUUCUACCUUAUGCUCUAACUGUCAAAGUGAAGAAAUUCAACCAAGCAUGGGUAAAGGACGGGAGUAAAUAUGACUCUCUUAAAGUAGCCAAAUGCCUCGUCAUCUAAUUAGUAAUGUGCAUAAAUGGAUUAACAAGUUCCCACUAUUCCUAUCUAUUAUCCAGUAAAACCACAACUAAGGGAAUGGGCUUGGCAAAAUUAGUGGGGAAAGAAGACUUUGUUGAGCUUGACUCUAUUUCAACUUUGAAAAAUGACUUGAAAGAAGACCUCUCACUUUAUUUUUUUACACUGCACCCUUUAAAGUUGGGGAUGAAUUGAGUUCCCUAUUGCAAUCGAUUUGAUUGGAUGAUGACAUGUUUCCCUCAGGCAUCCAAGUAAAUGGCAAUGAAUUGCCCUUGACAUUUGUUAUAGGGAUAGGCUCACCCUUGGUGUAGGCACUUGCCUCAAUCUCUAUCGACACAUGUUGGCCCUUGAUGCAUGUUGUUGCCUCAAACACCAUUGACUGUAUGUGGCCCUUAAUUGCUAUAUGGGCAAUUGCAUCCAACACCAAUGACAAAUGCCACCCUGUUCUUACCACAAACAUCGUCAGCAGAUGCUAACCCCUCGUGUAGGAUGUUGCCUCAGACACCAUUGCUAGAUGUUGGUGAUGUUUAAGCAAGGACUUGCCUCAACCACCAUCGACACUAGUAGGCCCUUGGUAUAGGUUGUUGUCUCAGACUCCUUUUUGGUAGAUGAUGACACUUGGUAUCACAUGUGUACCAUGACCCUUCCACCCAAGGCACUUGUCUACCCCUCGAUCACCAUUGGCAUAAAAUGACGCUUGGUGCAUGUGUCACGGGCUCUAAUCUUAAGCCAAACUCCAUACGGCCUUCGAUAAGGAAUUGACUCCAUGUGCCUUAGUUAGCCUACAAAACUCAUGUGCUCAUCAUAAUUCUAGCUUGUCAAAGAUUGUGCUACAAUACUGGGCUUUCUAUAAGCCCACAAAUUUGAUCCUCCUAAGACUAUGUUCAAGCGUGCCCACACUUAGGUCUGACUAUGCCCCAUAUCUCGAUCAUCAUGCCCACACUUGAGUCUAACCGUGUGUUUAUGCAUCACUCACUAGUGCUCGCACCUAGGUGUAGAUCUUGGUCAUAGUAGCAAAUAUUCAUAUGAGAAAUUUGAACGCUGAAGAGGGGAAAGUUUUCAUGUGAACAGCACUUGCACAUGGUUAGUCAAUCAUAAGAGAUUGGGGAAGCCUAUUCGGUGCUUCUAGUGCAAGCAUUGAAAGGGAAUUAAGUUAAAAUUCCUGAACUAGGAUGCAACAACUGGUAGCAACAUUUAGGAGUUUGGAGAAGUUAGCAGGGGCCUCAAGAAGAGUUAUCUUUUUGUUUAAUAGCCUAUCCACCUUGGAAAUGGCUCAGCCGAAUAUAGGUCCAGUAACCAAAAGAGACUGUAUGUCGCAUGGUGUCUAAUGUGCCCCCAGCAGCCCAUGAAAUCUAGAGGACCAAAUGCCAUUCCUGCUUGGUUAUACCUAUAACCACAUCAAGUCUCCAAGGCGAACAACCUCUAGUCAAUGAAAUAAUGUAGGCAAGGAAAGCCAACAAAAUGGAUCCAUAACCUCAAGAAAAGGAUUGGCUCUAAGAGCUAGGCAUAGGGGUCUUAGUCUUGAACUCAUCAGCUAUUGGUGCACUACUCAAACUAUUCUUACGAUGAGAGUGGAUCAUCGUGUGCUAACUAGGGGAAGGAUUAGGAACGGCUCUCUCGAGGGCCUUUCUCGAGUGAUAAAUAGUUGACUUAGAACUGGUAUGGGUAAGGGGAAUCCAACUAUUUAAUUAAAAUAAAGCAUUGUGAUGGUCCUUGUGGAUGCUCAUGUAAUGUGAUUUUUGCCCAAUGCUCUGAAAGUCAAAGUGAAAAAAUUCAACCAAGUGUAGGUAAAUAGUAGGAGUAACCAUGACUCUCUUAAGGUAGCCAAUUGCCUCAUCAUCUAACUAAUGACAUGCAUGAAUGGAUUAACAAGAGUCUCGCUAUCCCUAUCUACUAUCCAAUAAAACCACAACCAAGGGAACAGGCUUGGUAAAAUCAGUGGGGAAAGAAGAUCUUAUUAAGCUUAACUCUAGUCUAACUUUGUGAAAUGACUUAAGAGGUGUAGGAUAAGUGGGAGCCCUAGGAUAAAAUUGAAAUACCACUAUUUUAAAGUUAUUUUUCUUAUUUUAUGAAUUAGAGGUGGGGCACGAACCCUUCUUUUAAGGCUAGCCUUAGUCAGUCAAUCCAGGUGAAAGACAUUGUCAGGUGAAGGGUUUGGCUAGGGUAGCACAUCUAUUAAAAGAUAACCCAGGUGCCCUAAGAUGAGCUCAAUGAAAAUAGAAAUUUCAUAUGGAACAAAAGGGUAAAGCUUGUUUGAUUAUGAUUUCUAGUAUGAAUACGAACCAUAAAAGUGUGGCCUAUCAAUCUUUUAGACCUUUAGAAUUUGAAGCUAAAGGUGUCAGAAAAGUUACCACAAGAAUAACUAGCUUGUGGCAGCUAAGAGUUCAUAGCAACAUUGCUUUUAUCCUUUGAUGUCGACUCUUCCUAUCAUUGUGAAGCAGAAUUCACCAAGUGUUGGAUUCUUCUCCCACCAAUUGGGAACAUGAGCUAGGUUUAGACCAUCAUGAGACAAGCUAGUUUUACCCGACUAAUGGUAGGAUCGUAAUAGGAAUUGAAUCUAGUAUCAAAAGAACCAUUGAUUCACACAAUUUGUCAUUGUGCUUGGUUGAAAAGCUAAUGGCAUGAAGCUACCGUACAUUGAAUUAUGACUAAAUGGCUCUAAGUCAAUUUAGGGUAGAAGUGAUGGAUGCACUCAUUGCUCGAUUAUAGACCUACAGUAGGGGCCUAUCACCCUUAAAGGUAUGUGUCAUCGGUGCAGCCCUUGAUGCAAACAAGCUACAUGGGCCUCUUUUGAGCUUAAUUCCACUAAGCAACAGGUGGAAUCUGUUGUAAAAGACUUACAUACUGGGGUAUUGUAAGUGGCAAAAUGGCCUUGUUGCCAUAAUUUACUAAGAUUUAGGCCUUUGU
rnacentral:rRNA from 1 species